ensembl:lincRNA
CUGGGAUUUAGCCAGUGGAUCUUUGGGCUCAGGAGUCAUUAAUAUGGCAUUUAGGGUCAGCUGUGGGGAGAACAGUAAACACUGCUUCUUAUUUGGACUCGCCUCAGUAAGUCAUUUGGCAGUGGUAAGCAGCUUCCCUAUUCCUGUGGGGUGUCGUCACUGUGGCCACCGGCCCAUCUUCUUAACAGGAUGGCUUUGUGGAACGUUUGCUGUGUGCUUUGGGCAUCUGGUUUUAUCCUUCUGAUAACCUGGGACCAAUGGUCUCCCUAUUUACAGAGGAGGAAAUGUGGCCCUGGGAAGAAUAAGAUGCUUGCCCUCAGACAGCAGAGAAUUGCACAGCAGCCACUGGAUACCAGCUCCGACCCUAUGGAGCGUGCCAGCCAUACCACUCCAGAAAGGUGGGUGUCCAGGAGUCGCCAUGCUUCCUGCUUAGAUUCGAGGAGCCUGAACUGGAGCAGCCCCGACCAGCGCACCACCCAGCUGGGCGGCAGAACUUCCUCUGCAGCGGGGCUCCUGCUCCCUGCCUUUCUGUCAGCUCCUGUGAGCCAGCAAAGCUCCCAAGAAGGACAGCACUGACGGGGCCCGCCUGACAGACGUGGCCAUCAACCACUUUGUUACUCUGAUUGACUGCACAGUGUUUUAGGCAAAUUAACCCGUCCAAAAAAAUUCUUUAUUACUAAGCUCACACACAGAUGGAAGCAUGAACUAGACAAUUCUGGGUCUGGCUUCACAAUUAACUGAGAUGUUGCACUAGGCUAAUGAACUUUCCAGGCUGCACGUUCUCUGUCAGCAGAGGAGGCUGGCUGGGCCAGGAUGGAGUUAAAGGACGCAGACAGAUCUUGACAUCAACACUCCAGAAAGCCGUGGGCAGGGCAGCCAAGAAAGAAACGAGUCGAGCUGGUGGCAGAAAGUCAGGGGAAGCCCACGGCUCUGACCUCUAGAGACUUUCCUUCUCCCCCCAGCCCCUGCCCGAUAGUGGAGCGCCUACAGAUGUUUCUGUCCACAGCGCUGAUCCUGACUAGAAGGACUGAUGGUGCUGCCUUACAAAACCGACCAGAAGGAAUAUCAAUGAGAACUGGAACCCUGGGAAACUGAACCUUUGACAUGGAGGCUCCCUGAAUGCGCAGCGAGGGAGAGCAACCAGCCAGCCUCAGGGCGGCCUGCAGAGCCAGGAAGCAGGGCCUCCCUGCCAGGAAGAAAGACUUCUCUGGCUUCUGAGCACACCAUGAGAGGCUGGGACGGACACAGAAUUUCUGUGUGAUUAGCCCGGAUGGAGCACCUGGGGACAGCGGUUCAACUCCGUGUCUGAUUCUUGUCAUAGCAUACAAGGCCAGCCCGUGGGACAAACACACAUUGCUUGUUUCCAAAGAGAUGAAAGGCACUGGCUUAAAUUAAAUGGACAAAGUUAAAAUAAUUGAGACAUCUUUGUUAACAAAUCAUGGAACACAUUGGUAGUGGCGGCCUUCAUCUCUAUUCUCUAUAGCAAGGACAUCUGGACAGGUGUCUACCCUCGGCUGUCCCCCAGCUCUCCAGUCACUCACCCAACUGUCCAUCCCUCCGGCUAGCUUGACUGAUGACGUCAUGGUACGAGGCCUUCACUCCCAAGACCUCAGGGACUCAUGACCAUCCCCUCUUGACCCUUCAUCUCUGAGCCCAGCUGGCCAUGUGGAAGCUGGGGGAGGACUAGUAUCGAAAGCAGCUAUGAUCCUGCCUGGAUCCUCCCAAAUUCUUAGCCCAUCGCCAGCUGGCGUUCUCUCUUCCACCAUGGGUCACAAAGGUGGACCAAGUAUCCUGAAGUCCAGCAGUCCUCAGCUCAGGUGCCCCUGGAGGUGCUGCUCUGUGGUUGUUUGGCCUGCCCAGCUGCAUCCUUCUCCCCUUGCUAUAUGGCAGGAGCCUUGCUGAGACCCCUGAGCCCCUGGCCCUGCAGCACGCACCUGACACCUUACAGGGGCCACCCCACCUACCCACGCUGCUCAGGUCAGUGACACACAGGGCCAACUGCUCCACCCACCCACUGUGCAGUCCCACAAUCUCACGCUGGGCUUUGUGUCCUCUGGGGCUGGAGACCAGAAGAGCCUCAAGCAGCCUGACCUGGAUCCAUGCAGACACCGACACCUUCUGGAACCCAGGCAGAGGGUAAACUCUGAUGAGCAGGACGAGUAUCCAGCACCGAUAUGAGCUGUGACACUUUGUAAAGCUUUUGCUCUUGGUGAACCCAAGAGUUCUAAGCACUGUUGUGCUUUGGGCACAGUUUUUGGACUGUAAACUACUGUAUUUGGGCUUUUAGAUAGAGCCGAGGGCCUGGGCACUAGCCGAAGAAAUCCUCUAAUUGGUAUGUCCUCCUCCCAGUCCUGGAGAGAGCACACGAUGGAGCAGGAACCGUAAGAGCAGAGGGUUGUGGGGACAGUAGAGGACAGGGAGACCGUAGAGGACAGGGAGGUGAUGGGCCAGAGGCCAGUGCCUGUCCUGUGAGUGUGCAGCUAGCGAGGGGAAAGACAGCAGAUACCAGAUCCGCGCUUCCACGGCAGAGGCCCUGGUCCCUGCGUGGCAGGAGGGUGACCGCAGGGCCUGGCACUUGUUGGGCAUAUUGUAGGGGCCAGUGCCCAGAUGCAAGCGGAGCCAGGGCUGCUCCUUGGUCCCACCAUAAGUGGGUGAGACUCAUGGCCCCGGUCCCUGCCACACCUCUUGUCCCACAGCUGCCUUUGGUGAUGGGCAGCGAGUGCCCCAGCCCCUUUAUAUGCUCCUCUUGGCUCAGGCUUCACGGUGUGGGUGAGAGGCCAGGGAGCUGCCCUGGUCGGUCCCGGCCCCCACCUGCAGUGGAGGUGUCAGUCCUUCGGGGGAAAAGGGCAACGUGCUCCACCCCUGCUGAUGUACACGGACGUCAGCUAACUGGAAACACGGCUUCUUCCACCGAGACGCCCGCCCCUGCGCUGUGCUUACUGAGCCCCUGCCCCAUGUGGACACAGUGCUGGAACCUGACUGUCUUCAGCUACAGAGCUGCAGAUCUGGCUCAGGGCCCUGGAGAGUGAGGAGACAGGGUCAGGGUGAGCCCCAGGCCGAGGGACCUAAGUGGAAGAGCUGCAUCUCUGCCCUGGGCAUCUCUGGGCACCGCCCCAGAGCUCAUCCCAUCAGGUGCACCUGCAUCUCUCAUGUGUUCAACAACGACCCACCACUGAGCACUGCCCACGCCUGUCCAGCCG